ACCAACACUAACCUAGUGGCGAU
rnacentral:snRNA from 1 species